UACGGAGGGUGCAAGCGUUGUCCGGAAUCACUGGGCGUAAAGGGCGCGUAGGCGGCCCGGUAAGUAGGGGGUGAAAUCCUGCGGCUUAACCGCAGGGCUGCCUUCUAAACUGUCGGGCUCGAGCACGGUAGAGGCAGAUGGAAUUCCCGGUGUAGCGGUGGAAUGCGUAGAGAUCGGGGAAGAACAUCAGUGGCGAAGGCGGUCUGCUGGGCCGUUGCUGACGCUGAGGCGCGACAGCGUGGGGAGCAAACAGG
rnacentral:rRNA from 1 species